GACGAACGCUGGCGGCGUGCCUAAUACAUGCAAGUCGAACGCAGUGGGGACGGGUGAGUAACACGUGGGUAACCUCCCAUCAGAGGGGAUAACACUUGGAAACAGGUGCUAAACCGAUACUGAUGGAUGGACCCGCGGUGCAUUAGCUAGUUGGGGAGGUAACGGCUCACCAAGGCCACGAUGCCUAGCCGGCCUUGAGGGGGGUACGGGCAAACUUGGACUGGAGCAACGCCCCAGCUCCGUCCGGAAGCAGCAAUAGGGGAUCUUCGGCAAAGGGGGGAAAGCUGGCCGGGCAACGCCGCGGGGGUGAAGAAGGUUUUCGGGUCGUAAAACUCUGUUGGUAAGGAAGCGGUACUUAACCAGAAAGGAACGGCUAACUACGUGCCAGCAGCCGCGGUAAUAC
rnacentral:rRNA from 1 species